rnacentral:rRNA from 1 species
UCCCCAGACUCCUACGGGAGGCAGCAGUGGGGAAUAUUGCACAAUGGGGGAAACCCUGAUGCAGCGACGCCGCGUGAGCGAUGAAGUAUUUCGGUAUGUAAAGCUCUAUCAGCAGGGAAGAAGAUGACGGUACCUGACUAAGAAGCCCCGGCUAACUACGUGCCAGCAGCCGCGGUAAUACGUAGGGGGCAAGCGUUAUCCGGAUUUACUGGGUGUAAAGGGAGCGUAGACGGCGAUGCAAGCCAGAUGUGAAAGCCCGGGGCUCAACCCCGGGACUGCAUUUGGAACUGUGUGGCUGGAGUGUCGGAGAGGCAGGCGGAAUUCCUGGUGUAGCGGUGAAAUGCGUAGAUAUCAGGAGGAACACCGGCGGCGAAGGCGGCCUGCCGGACCGCGACUGACGUUGAGGCUCGAAAGCGUGGGAAGCAAACAGGAUUAGAUACCCGGGUA